CCGCAGCUUAAAUCAGUGAAUGCCAGCCGAUUGUGCAGCAUCUCGCUUUUGCAUUGCUGCCAGAAGAAUCCUCCAAAUGGACGAGUUCAUCAGCUGAGUGCCAAGUCCCGAAUCUCUGGACGCCCUCUUCUAAAAUCUCGCCGACAACC
rnacentral:snoRNA from 1 species